UAAAGGAGUGUAACUUGCUUACCUUAGCAUCAGAAAAUAGUUGUGUUGUCAGAGGGCAGUUGCCUUUUCUAUGUGUUUUUUUUUAAAGGUGUCUCAGCUGUGCAAUUUUUGGCCUUAGGGAAGUCUGUUUCUAAGCCCCUAGAAUAUUGAAUGCAAAUUCUAGCUUUAAUUAAAUAUCAGUCAAUACUACUAAUUAUACUGUGCACAGUUCCUGGAUCAUAUUCACUCCUGUCCUGUUUUUAGAUAGAAUAAAUGAGUUUGCCAACUGGAAAUCAAACUGGUGAGGAUGCAUACAUUAUUGUCAAUAUAAACAAAGUCCUUGAGAUGAGAAGUGGGAUGAUAAAGAAUGGACUGAAGAAAAAGCUAUUGAAAUACUGACUUCUUUGCCGCACACCUAGAAACAUAAAGAGGGAAGAAGAGGAGUCAGCAAUACUAGCAAUAAACUUAUUCUAUUAUCCUAUACUUGGCUUGUUAGCACAUUGACUUCCCUGACUCAGGUAGACUAACAAGCAAACAAUAUAUGGAGCGGCAAUAUUUUAUUGGUAUAUUAAAGAUUUCUAGCUAUUCGCAUAG